rnacentral:lncRNA from 1 species
GCCAGCUUGCUAACGGCCUUGCCCCAUUCAGAUGCAUCGAACUCACAGAACAUCGCUCCCCAGCUGCUGGCUCGCGGUUCUGAGAGUGCCUGAAUAGAAAACCACUCAUUUCCCUUCGCAAAAGAGGCGCCCAAAGCAGAUAUUUCAAUAUAUUCCAAUUUAGCCGAGGGAAGCCAGAACAUGGAUGUUGUUGCCAAGGAAACCACCUCCUUCCUCCUGUGUGCUGUGCAUACGUGUAUCACUUCAUCUCUCUGCUCUCCAAGCUUGAAUCUAGAUCUGACGUGGAUAUCCUGCCACAGUUCCGAAGUCUACCUAGUGCCCCAGCCGAACCUGCCCUGGCUCCUAGGUGGGGUAUGGACAUCUGUGACAUCCCUCCCCAACACCCCACCAAGCUGGGCUGCAAGACGGGUUAUGGUGGCCCCAUGACUUCCUUCCUUG